rnacentral:rRNA from 1 species
GACGAACGCUGGCGGCGGGCUUAACACAUGCAAGUCGAACGGAAAGGCCCUGCUUUUGUGGGGUGCUCGAGUGGCGAACGGGUGAGUAACAUGUGAGUAACCUGCCCUUGACUUUGGGAUAACUUCAGGAAACUGGGGUUCAUACCGGAUAGGAGCUCCUGCUGCAUGGUGGGGGUUGGAAAGUUUCGGCGGUUGGGGAUGGACUCGCGGGUUAUCAGCUUGUUGGUGUGGCAGUGGCUUACCAAGGCUUUGGAGGGUAGCCGGCCUGAGAGGGUGACCGGCCACAGUGGGACUGAGAUACGGGCGAGAGUCCUACGGGAGGCAGCAGUGGGGAAUAUUGCACGAUGGGCGGAAGCCGGAUGCAGCAACGCCGCGUGCGGGAUGACGGCCUUCGGGUGGUAAACCGCUUUCGCGUGUGACGAAGCGUGAGUGACGGUAAUGGGUAAAGAAGCACCGGCUAACUACGUG